GCAGGAAGUAGUGCCAGUGACUCAGCAGGUGGAACAACUUCAAGGCAGUACUACCAAAUGCCCUGACAAGAUGCCAGGCAAACAUCUUACUACAGUCCAUUCAUUUUUUAGGUGGUAUAUAAACUGGGCUAAGGUACACUCAGAUUUUAGAUGAGCCAAAACAUGAGCAGGAAAAGCAGAAAAAGAGAAGAUCAGAGUGAAGUGGUGAAAGGGAAAGGUAAAAAAAGGAAAAGGGCUACUGAUCACAUGACCAACCUCUACCUUCUAAGAGAUGUACAUGGAACCAUGGAGGAGUUGCUCCCAAAACCUGCGAGAGACAGAUCUAUGUGGUGCAAAAAGGUGGACGGUGGCAGAUCUAGAAAUGUGCUGCUUAGAAUUUCUUCAAAAGAACUCACUACAGGAAGCCCAGUUGACUGGCAGUCCUAGAUGCCACCCCUCUGGAUUCACCACUACAUUAGCUGCAAGGCCCCAGGGCUGCUCCCUGCCUUGGACAGCACAGUGAUGAUAUGAGUGCAAGCACAACACAAACUCCUCUGGCUGGCAACUUUGGCCUAAGGACUCCCCAUCAGCCUGGCCCAACCUUCUGUAGGACUGCACCAACAGUCUGAGAUUCCUCUUACCCAAUCCUCCUUCCUUCCAUCUCUUACCACAGGUGUUAGGUUUAUGGAAGUCUGAAGGCUCUUCCUGCCUACUCCUACUCCCUCCGCUUUGUCCUACACAAGUGAGUUCCUCCAAUAAAUUUCUUGCAUGUCU
rnacentral:lncRNA from 10 species